rnacentral:rRNA from 1 species
ACUCCUACGGGAGGCAGCAGUGGGGAAUUUUGGACAAUGGGCGAAAGCCUGAUCCAGCAAUGCCGCGUGAGUGAAGAAGGCCUUCGGGUUGUAAAGCUCUUUUGUCAGGGAAGAAACGGUGAGAGCUAAUAUCUCUUGCUAAUGACGGUACCUGAAGAAUAAGCACCGGCUAACUACGUGCCAGCAGCCGCGGUAAUACGUAGGGUGCAAGCGUUAAUCGGAAUUACUGGGCGUAAAGCGUGCGCAGGCGGUUUUGUAAGUCUGAUGUGAAAUCCCCGGGCUCAACCUGGGAAUUGCAUUGGAGACUGCAAGGCUAGAAUCUGGCAGAGGGGGGUAGAAUUCCACGUGUAGCAGUGAAAUGCGUAGAUAUGUGGAGGAACACCGAUGGCGAAGGCAGCCCCCUGGGUCAAGAUUGACGCUCAUGCACGAAAGCGUGGGGAGCAAACAGGAUUAGAAACCCCAGUAGUCCCAUG